rnacentral:sRNA from 1 species
CUGGGAGUAGCGCGAGGAAAAGAAGGGCGCUGGGUGAAGCAGUUGCUCAGGAUAUUUCUCUGGCAAUGGAUCGUCACAAACGUGUGAAAUGUUUGCCUGGGGAAAACACACAAAACGAAAUGUGAUGCCAGAGCUUACUGCUGUUUUGUCACACGAGUGUUUUCGACUAAGAUAAGCCAACUUCCCAGAUUCCCAGAGAGAUUAUUUCUUCUGCUGCAGAUAGAGUACUCAGGAUGUAGCAGUCGAAAUAGAAAACUUCAGUAGGAAACUUCCUUUGGGAAGUCCUAACCUGUAUCUCCUCUCACUACAUAGAUGUCUGGAACUUUUAUUAUGUAGACAAGACUGCCUUGGGUCACAGAGAUCUGCCUCCCAAAGGAGGGGUUGACAUCAAGUGCCAAUACUUUAACAGAUGUCUUUUGGCCUCUGAAAUGGCAGUUACAGAUGUAUGAGUGGGCGAAUCUAAGGUCCAGAAACAGGAUACAAUUUUCUCAAGGCAUCGUAUCUAUUUCAGCAGCACAACCAGACAAAAAUUUUGAGUUCUUGUUUAAUACCCAAGGUAUCAGAUAUGGUCCAGGAAUGGAGUCCUGUGAGAAGAUUUCUGAGUGCUUUAUCUCUAGCAUGGACUU